rnacentral:rRNA from 1 species
AACCCAGACUCCUACGGGAGGCAGCAGUGGGGAAUAUUGCACAAUGGGGGAAACCCUGAUGCAGCGACGCCGCGUGAAGGAAGAAGUCUCUCGGUAUGUAAACUUCUAUCAGCAGGGAAGAAAACAGACGGUACCUGACUAAGAAGCCCCGGCUAACUACGUGCCAGCAGCCGCGGUAAUACGUAGGGGGCAAGCGUUAUCCGGAUUUACUGGGUGUAAAGGGGGCGCAGACGGCCAUGGCAAGCCAGAUGUGAAAGCCCGGGGCUCAACCCCGGGACUGCAUUUGGAACUGUGUGGCUGGAGUGUCGGAGAGGCAGGCGGAAUUCCUAGUGUAGCGGUGAAAUGCGUAGAUAUUAGGAGGAACACCAGUGGUGAAGGCGGCCUGCUGGACGAUGACUGACGUUGAGGCUCGAAAGCGUGGGGAGCAAACAGGAUUAGAUACCCUCGUACA